UUGUUUGGAAGUAAAUAUGUUCCAUAAUAGCACAGGGCAUGCAAAACAGGUAGACUACCGCAAACCAUCGGUAGGUUGGACCGAGAGAGAGAGAGAAAGAGAGGGGGAGAGAGAGAGGUGAUGGUUUGAAGUGAGGAAGGAAACAUUUGAGGAACGGGCUGGCCACAGCCAGCUACUUUGAUGCGUGUCGUCUGUGCCAUGGUAGGCAAUAAAAACAAGGUGCGAGUGGGCGGAAAGAGGACUGUCCAUGAGCAAUUAGCACUCAGCCUGGAGACAAUCUGUGUAUCCUCAGAUUUGAGCCUUUGAUCGGACAGAAACUGAUCAAAUCGGUGUAAUAUUCUCCCCACAAUACAAACCAUAAAGUCCAGUCGAGGCAAAACAUUUUACAAGGGCGGAUUAUCUUUUCCUGGAGCAAACUGAAUCCCCCGCUGGACUCUCCUCACCUUCGUCAGCACAGCCAUGGGCCCGACCAGCGCUCCUAAAGGGUGUGGCUCCUCCAUCACCUCCCUAUACUACAACCUGUGUGACCUAGCUACUGUUUGGGGAAUUGUGGUGGAGGCCAUUGCUGCUGCUGGUGUGGUGACUUCCUUUGUCCUGUUCGUCAUCCUCAUGGCCAGCCUGCCCUUUGUGUCACACAAGAAGAGAAAGAGUAUGGUGAUCCUGCAGGCCAGUGUUUUAGUCUUCACCCUUGGACUCUUCGGCCUCACUUUUGCCUUCAUUGUGGGCCAGGAUUUCACCACGUGCAUGGCCCGGAGGUUCCUCUUUGGCGUCCUGUUCUCAGGCUGCCUUGCCUGCCUGGUGAUGCAUGGGUUGUGGCUUGCCCUGCUGGAACGGCUUGAUCAGGGGCCCCGGGGCUGGAUGAUGUGCCUGGGAGCCCUGGCUCUCUGGCUGGUGGAGGUUAUCAUCAACACUGAGUGGCUGAUAGUCACUGUGGUCAGGAGCCCCCUCAGAACCUCCAGCAUUUCUGAUUUGUCCUGCAGCAUUGCUAACAAGGACUUUGUGAUGGCCCUGAUCUAUGUGAUGGCCCUGAUGCUGGCUGUGGUGCUGAUGGCUGUGCCGUCACUAACACACAAGCACAAGCAGUGGCGUCGAGAUGGAGCUUUCAUGCUGGCCGCAGGGCUCUUCACCAUAGCUAUCUGGGUAGCCUGGAUUGUCAUGUACAUUCAUGGGAACCAGGUGGCCGGGAACCCCGGCUGGGAUGACCCUACUCUGGCGAUAGCUGUGGUGUCCAACGCCUGGGUGUUUCUUGGCCUCUACACCAUUCCAGAGGUCUGCUUACUGACCCAGGAGGACCCAGACCAGGAACAGCCCCAGGAUGGAGACCAUGUCUACCCUGCCAGGAGCCUGGUUUACGACAACAUCCUAAAGGAACAGGAGCAACCCCAGCAGAACAUAUACAUAGAAAAUAAGGCCUUCUGUAUGGAUGAGCCGAGUGCAGCAGCUUCCAAAAAGCCAGUGUCUCCAUAUGAAGUUUUUAACGGUCAGAUGCGCAGCGGUGUGUACCAGCCCACUGAAAUAGCCCUUAUCACCAAGGGUCUGACUAAAAAAGACCUAUCCCAAAAUACUGUGCUCCCCAGGGCAAUGGCACCCACUUUGAAUCCAGGAAAUGACAGCCACCUCCCUUGAUUGGCUGGGUCCUUACCACCUUCAGGACUGUCACAUGCAGGCAGCGUGAGUUGACAGAAAACAGUUUGAAUCACUCCAGUGAACUUCUAGUGAAAAUGCAGUGAUGUGACCAAGAUUGUGCCUCUUUUUCCCUUUACUUAAUCUCCACUGGCGCUCCUGCACUGCUUGGUCCUGUACGCACAUGGGCUGGCUUUCAAAAACAACAGAACUGAUGAUUUCAGAUGGUACGUGACCUGGAGGCAAGAGUCCACAGGAUGCACACCCAACAUGAAGGUCUCUGCAUUGAAAAAGUUGGACCUCACCUCUUCUAUAUCAUAGCCAUUGUGGCCUUUUGGCACAGACUGUUCUCAGCCGUCAUCUGAAACCAGCUUUGCACACUUGUUGCUUGAGGCACUUGCAUCUAUAAGGGAUUACAGUGAUUUUCCUUUUUAACUGCGUUUUAGGGCUGAGUGAAUGUGUGUUUGUUUGUGUGAUAUCUGAGAAAGUCAGGUGAGAGAGAUGAAUUGUUUCACAUUUACAGUAUCUACUGUCCUCAGCACACCAUCAUCCCCCACCGUGCUGGUCUCCAUCUCUCUUUCUAACAUGUGCAUUUUGAUAAAAUGCACAUUUUCCCUACUUAAUUCUCCAGGUUGGACUUGAAAAAAUGGACAUACUUGAAGUGAAAACUGACAUAGGUUGAUAGGUGAGCAUCAGGCCUUGCACUGUUUAGAGCACAAGUGGUUAAAAAGUCGAGACCCAGCCCAAUGAAAUGCAAAGUGGAGGUCCACAGUUUAACCAAUAUAUAGUUUUUAUCCACAAACACUAAUUAUUGAUAUUGUUGUUAUUGAUGUUAUCACUGGGUUAAUGUUUGUUUUCUCUUCUGUCAUAAAUCUGCCGACUGUAAAUUAUGUUUAUCAGUUAUUGUCUUAAGUUCUUUCUUCACUUGUAAAAUUAUUUUGUGAUUAAUUCUUAUGAAAGAUGAUUUUGUAGAUGGUCUUGGAUAUAUAAUGUGAAAGUGUAAAUUUGUAACUUAUUAAAGCUGUGAGUAUUAUUUCAUGUUG